rnacentral:lncRNA from 1 species
AUGGGGGAGCCGUCGGCACGCAGCCCUCGGGCAGCUUUCGGGCUGGUUUGCAGAGGGCCCAUCGUUAACUGGGCCCCGCGCAAGCGUCUGCAGGGCCGGAGCCUCCGGGCUAGGGGGCUGGGCGGGCCGGCCUGCAGGGGGAGGCUGAGGAGAGGGGCGAGGCUGCGGCCCAGCGAGACCCCUGGGGCGGGAUCAAACGAUGCUCCGCGCCGCGCUGCCCCUUGUGGCCUGGGCGCCCCGGGUGCCGCGCGCACGACGAAGCCGAGGUGCCAGGCGCCCGUUCCGGAGCCACCUGAUGGGAACGGGGGUGUAGGGCACCGAGCCCCGGCCAUGAGGCCCCAGAGCUCGGGGCGCGGCCCGGCCUGCCCCGGCGCCCGCCUCCCGUCCCGGCCGUCCGCCCGGCGCGCCGACCCUGACCCUCCUCGAGCCUCGUCUCCCGGCCUGACCCCUCCGCUGGGCCUCGCGGCGCAGGGAGCCCCCCACCGCGGGACACGGGCUCCCGCCGGUCUGCAGCGCCCCCGCCCCGGUGCACCGCCGCCCGCGGUCCUGUCGGGCAGCUCCCCGCGGAGGCCGCCGCCCCGGCCCGCGCCUCUCGCGCUCCCGCCGAGCGCCCGCGGGCGCAGCCCAGCCCCCCCAGGCCGCGGCCCACGAGGGCCUCCGGGGCCGGGCACCGCCCUCCGCGCCGCUUCCCGGAAGCCCCGCCCGGCCGCGGCCCGUGACGGGCGGGCGGGCCGGCCAACCGGGGCGGGGCGGGGCGGGGCGGGGCGGGCCGGGGGCGUGGCCCGACGGCCGCGGCCAAUGGCGAGCCGCGCCUGCGUGACGGACGGGCGCGGGGCGGGGCGUGCGCGCCCUCCCCCCCGAGUGUCCGCCCGCCCGCGCCCGCAGCCCGCAGCCCGAGCCGCACCCUCCGCGGACGGAGCCCAUGCGCUGGGCGAGCCGCGCGCCCCGGCCCCGGCCCCCUUCCCCGCCCCCGCCCCGGCCCCGGCCCCGGCCCCGGGGGCAGUCGCGCCAGUGAGCGGUGAGUGCGGCGGGGGCGGCGGGCGGCGGGGCGGGGCGGGGGCGGCCGGGGCUGCGGCGCCGGGCGGUGGAGGCGGCGGCGGCGGCGGGGCGCGCGGGGGCGCAGGUGAGCCGCGGGCGGGCGCUGCGGCGGGUGCGGGGUGCGAGGUGCGGGGUGCGGGGGCGCCCCGGGCGGCGGCGUCCGCGCCCUCUCCUCCGCGGGCCGCGUGCGGGGCCCCCAGGUCGCCAGGCGCGCCCCCGAGGCCCGGGCGGCGGGCGGCCUCCGCGAUGCACAGCGGGCGAGCCGGGCGUUCGCACCGGAGCCCCGGGCACCGCGUCCCGAAACCUCCCAGACCGGGAGCCGGGCCGGAGGCCGCGGCCCAGCGCCGUCCCCGCGCCUACCCCGCCGGCCUGCUCCCGGGGCCGCCAUCCCCGCAGCCCGCCGCUGCUCUCCUGCGAAGCUCGAGCGGCCGCGGGCCUGGGGCUCCCCCCGGGACAGGAGGGCCCGGGCCUCGCCCCCGGAGCAGCAGCUGGCGGCCGCGGGCGCUCCGCAGAUGCUAG